ensembl:lncRNA
GCUUCAGAGAAUUUCUCUUCCUGAAGACAUCUUCGUCUACUGGUGUUUCAGACGACUGACUGCCAGUUAACCCACCACUCAUCAGUCAAUCAAAAGAUUAAGGGAAUCAUGAUGGUUCAGUGCACCUGUUUACUGCUGCUGCUGCUCUCCACUGCUGUGUUCUCACAAAAUUAUGACAAAUUCAUAGUGAAACACACGCUUGUGAAGGCAAAUGGUAAAAAAGAUUGUGACACUUUGAUGAAAGAUGUCAAUGCACUGGAAAAGAAAACUCCAGGAAAGUGCAAGGAAAAAAAUACUUUCAUCGACAAAAGUGACGAGAAAAUAUUUCAGGACAUGUGUAAAGCUGUAUCUAAAAAGCAAUUUGUUAACUUACCAUAUAAUUGGUUUGACUGUGUGACAAAAGAUAUAAUGGAACCUUGUUCAUACACAGAAGAAAAACCUAAUGAGAAGAAGAGUAUACUAUGUGAAAAAGACAAAUCCAAGAAUAAAUUUCUACCUGUACACCUUAAAGCUGGUAGCGCUUAGGAGAAGACUCAGCAGUUGAUUCCAGUUUGAAACUGUUGUGUUGUCUUAACUACUUGUUCAAAGAAUUUCUUAAAAUGUGUUGAUAAUCACGUGACUGUCUUCUGACAAACAUGAAGAGGAAUUGUAAGGAUUUGAGUUGAUCACAUGUAAGAAACCAGAAUAAACUUCUUUCAUCCAAUUUAAUGCUGCAGAAGAUUUGUUGCAGAAAAGUUGUCUCUUUAUUUCUCAAUCUCGGGGUUCACAAAUUCUUAUAUGAUGUUAAAAUCUAAAGAAAAAAAUGCUCUGUCCCUCUUGUCUGUGCUAUUUUGGGGGGCUUUUAAAAAAUAAUAUUCAUAAUUUUAUAUUGAAGAAUUUCAGAAAUGUUGAGAUUAACUUACCAGAAUUCUCCAAUGCUGCAGUUCACUGACAUGUACAGUUCUGGUUAGAAGUUUUUAUCCUCUCGUCAUGGGCAUGAAUGCCAUGGUAAUUUUGGGCUUUUGAUGAUUUCUUGGAACGAUUCUUUUUCCAGGGUGGAAUGAUUGUGCAGCAUACACCUUUAAUGACUUUAAGAAAGCAAGACUUGGGGGAACAAGUUGGAAUUUAUUUUGGACUCAUCCACACAGGUUCAAAAGUCUACAUACAGCCUCAAAUAUAUACAUGCACCUCCACCAAUAUUUGGUAAAUGCCUAUAGUAAGUGUAUGUAAACUUCUGACCACAACUCUAUCUGUAUUAAAAGGGAGUGACAACAGAAUUUCAAUAGCAAAACAGCAUGCAUGACUAUUCUUAUUGCAGGCACACCUACGAACAGUUCUGGAGUGCAUAUUUAUCCUCAUGAAACACAAAAAAAAUAAACCUCACUAAAUUUCCACUGGAAAAAAGAAAUCGCAGCAAUGUUCAUUUUUGCACAAAGCAUGAAAGCUGUCAAAUUUUGACCUUCACUGGGGAGUAACGGAAUACAUGUACCGGC